rnacentral:rRNA from 1 species
UACGUAGGGCGCAAGCGUUAAUCGGAAUUACUGGGCGUAAAGCGUGCGCAGGCGGUUGUGUAGGACAGAUGUGAAAUCCCCGGGCUCAACCUGGGAACUGCAUUUGUGACUGCACAGCUGGAGUGCGGCAGAGGGGGAUGGAAUUCCGCGUGUAGCAGUGAAAUGCGUAGAUAUGCGGAGGAACACCGAUGGCGAAGGCAAUCCCCUGGGCCUGCACUGACGCUCAUGCACGAAGGCGUGGGGAGCAAACAGG